CCUACGGGUGGCAGCAGUGGGGAAUAUUGGGCAAUGGGCGCAAGCCUGACCCAGCAACGCCGCGUGAAGGAAGAAGGCUUUCGGGUUGUAAACUUCUUUUCUCAGGGACGAAGCAAGUGACGGUACCUGAGGAAUAAGCCACGGCUAACUACGUGCCAGCAGCCGCGGUAAUCCGUAGGUGGCAAGCGUUAUACGGAUUUACUGGGUGUAAAGGGCGUGUAGGCGGGACUGCAAGUCAGAUGUGAAAACCACGGGCUCAACCUGUGGCCUGCAUUUGAAACUGGAGUUCUUGAGUACUGGAGAGGCAGACGGAAUUCCUAGUGUAGCGGUGAAAUGCGUAGAUAUGAGGAGGAACACCAGUGGCGAAGGCAUCUCACUAAUCCGCGAUUGACGCUGAUGCACGAAAGCGUGGGUAUCAAACAGGAUUAGAUACCCCGGUAGUC
rnacentral:rRNA from 1 species